rnacentral:rRNA from 1 species
CAGUCGCCGCGGGAAUACAGAGGGUGCGAGCGUUAAUCGGAUUUACUGGGCGUAAAGCGUGCGUAGGCGGCUUCUUAAGUCGGAUGUGAAAUCCCUGAGCUUAACUUAGGAAUUGCAUUCGAUACUGGGAAGCUAGAGUAUGGGAGAGGAUGGUAGAAUUCCAGGUGUAGCGGUGAAAUGCGUAGAGAUCUGGAGGAAUACCGAUGGCGAAGGCAGCCAUCUGGCCUAAUACUGACGCUGAGGUACGAAAGCAUGGGGAGCAAACAGGAUUAGAUACCCCGGUAGUCCCUGUCUCUUAACA